rnacentral:piRNA from 1 species
UGACAUGAGUCGUUUGUUGAC